UUCAUUGGUUUGAUUCGAACUUUUCUCAAACUAUAAAAUACUCGAACUAAAUAUCAUGGUUUAAUUUAAAUUUCGAUUUGAUUCAAAUGUUCUUUAACACGUAAAUAAAAAAAAAAAACAAUAUUAUUACAUUUAUUAAUCCUUAACCUGUGUGCCAAAACUUUAAAUGGAAAUUUAUUUUAAAACGGAAGAGUAAUCUAAACCACAUAAUCAUAAAUCCGCAUGAAGAAACAAAC
rnacentral:lncRNA from 1 species